rnacentral:rRNA from 1 species
AACGAGCGCUGGCGGCAUGCCUAACACAUGCAAGUCGAACAAGCCCUUCGGGGUUAGUGGCGCACGGGUGCGUAACGCGUGGGAAUCUGCCCUUCGGUUGGGAAUAACUCAGGGAAACUUGAGCUAAUACCUUAUAAUGUCUUCGGACCAAAGAUUUAUCGCCGAGGGAUGAGCCCGCGUAGGAUUAGGUAGUUGGUGGGGUAAUGGCCUACCAAGCCGACGAUCCUUAGCUGGUCUGAGAGGAUGAUCAGCCACACUGGGACUGAGACACGGCCCAGACUCCUACGGGAGGCAGCAGUGGGGAAUAUUGGACAAUGGGCGAAAGCCUGAUCCAGCAAUGCCGCGUGAGUGGUAAAGGCCUUAGGGUUGUAAAGCUCUUUAACCAGGGAUGAUAAUGACAGUACCUGGAGAAUAAGCUCCGGCUAACUCCGUGCCAGCAGCCGCGGUAA